rnacentral:rRNA from 1 species
UUGAAAUCUGGCUCUCGGGCCCGAGUUGUAAUUUGUAGAGGAUGCUUUUGGCAAGGUGCCUUCCGAGUUCCCUGGAACGGGACGCCAUAGAGGGUGAGAGCCCCGUCUGGUUGGACACCGAGCCUCUGUAAAGCUCCUUCGACGAGUCGAGUAGUUUGGGAAUGCUGCUCUAAAUGGGAGGUAUAUGUCUUCUAAAGCUAAAUACUGGCCAGAGACCGAUAGCGCACAAGUAGAGUGAUCGAAAGAUGAAAAGCACUUUGAAAAGAGAGUUAAAAAGCACGUGAAAUUGUUGAAAGGGAAGCGCUCAUGACCAGACUUGGGCUUGGUUGAUCAUCCGGCGUUCUCGCCGGUGCACUCUUCCAGUUCAGGCCAGCAUCAGUUUGCCCCGGGGGAUAAAAGCAGCGGGAAUGUGGCUCCUUCGGGAGUGUUAUAGCCCGUUGCAUAAUACCCUGAGGCAGACUGAGGACCGCGCUUCGUGCAAGGAUGCUGGCGUAAUGGUCAUCAGCGACCCGUCUUGAAACACGGACCAAGGAGUCGUCUUCGUAUGCGAGUGUUCGGGUGUCAAACCCCUACGCGUAAUGAAAGUGAACGCAGGUGAGAGCUUCGGCGCAUCAUCGACCGAUCCUGAUGUUCUCGGAUGGAUUUGAGUAAGAGCAUACGGGGCCGGACCCGAAAGAAGGUGAACUAUGCCUGUGUAGGGUGAAGCCAGAGGAAACUCUGGUGGAGGCUCGCAGCGGUUCUGACGUGCAAAUCGAUCGU